AUUGAACGCUGGCGGCAGGCCUAACACAUGCAAGUCGAGCGGAGCGGCGGACGGGUGAGUAAUGACUAGGAAUCUGCCUGGCCGUGGGGGAUAACGUACGGAAACGGGCGCUAAUACCGCAUACUAUCAGAUGAGCCUAGGUCGGAUUAGCUAGUUGGUGGGGUAAAGGCCUACCAAGGCGACGAUCCGUACCUGGUCUGAGAGGCUGGUCAGUCACACGGGAACGGGGAUACGGUCCAUACUCCUACGGGAGGCACCGGUGGGGAAUAUUGGACAAUGGGCGAAGUCCUGCUCCAGCCAUGCCGGGGGGUUGAGGAGGUUCUUCGGAUUGUAAAGCACGUUAAGUGGGAAGGCGUUACCAACAGAAUAAGCACCGGCUAACUUCGUGCCAGCCGCCGCGGUAAUAC
rnacentral:rRNA from 1 species